rnacentral:misc_RNA from 1 species
CCGUCGUUCUUAUCUUCUCCCAGCCGCUCUUCCCUAUCCCCUCCGCGCGAUCCUCCCCUGCUCCCUGAUUUCUCCAGCCCGUGGAGCUUUUGCUAUGCGCUCCCUCCCUGCUCCGGUCUUCUCCAUAGCCGAGCGCCCGACGUUCUCCCUGGUGCUCGCCCAAGUCACCGUUGCAGCUCCAGCUCGGAUUCCCCUUCCCAUGGCGGCGCCCACCUCCCUGUGCUCCCUGUUCCAGCUCGUCGGGGAUGCCCCUUCCAGCCGUGUUCUGCUUCUCUCCCUGCGCCCCUAUUCAUCUCCUGCGCGCCUUGGUUUUGGUCCCAAGCUCCAUGGCCGCCGCGCUGCAGCUCUCUGGUGCUCGGUCGCCAAGUCUCCCUGCUCUAUGUGUUCUUCUUCCUCCCUGGCUCCUGCUCGUCCAACGACGCCGUCGGCCGGACCUCUCUGCUUCUCCUGCGCCCGCGUCGUGGCUCUCCACUGCGCGUAGUGGUGCUUCAGUUCUGCUCUGUCCAUUUUCCUGUGCCGCGCCACUGCAGCUCGCCUCGGCUCCUCGCCUCAUCCAUGGUCGAGCGCCCUCUGCCCAGCCUGUCGAAGCUCCUCUGCCGGCUGCAAGCUUCUGCUCAAGCUUGCUCUCGGCGCUCGCCCCUGAUUUCUGCGCUCAGCUCCACCGCGACGUGAAGUCCCUGCGCGCAAGCUAUCUGUUGGCCGCGCGCGAACUCCUCUGCUUGGCCCGUCGUCGUUCUCCAGCGCACUCGAUGGUUUCGUCGUCUCGUCUUGACGUCAGUCUCUACGUGACAUCUCUGACGUGGGUUCACGCCGACAAAAGAAUCCCAAGAAGAUAUAGAGAAGCAAGCCUUUGAUCAAUGUUCAAGUGGUCGGCGAAAGGCCAGAACAAGAAUCAUCACCGUUUAUACGGAGUUCUACUUAAUAUGAAAAGAUUCCAAGAAUUGUGGAUAGAAGAGAAAGUGAAGCUUCGUGCUAUACUCGUCAGCUGCUCGAUCGAAGACUUCAAUCGAAGACUAUCGUCGUUCCCGCCAACACUGAAUCAAGUUGAUAACGGUGAGCCAAAUCACUAUUUUUACUAUGGAUUUUAUGAUCGUGAAAUAAGACGCUU